GGGGGUGCGGGGGGAGCGUUGCUAAGGACGACUCGGCGUGGAUAUCUGGCGUCUGGAUCGGGGUACUCCUUGGUGUACGUCUGCGCUAUUUAGGUUGUCCCCUCCUCCGGCGAAAAAUCGGCUCUGCCCCACCACCCGGAGCCCGCGCGAAGGGGCGACCCUACAUCAUAAAGUUGAUGGCUCGCCGACCAUAGAGAAAACAUGACUAUAGCCGUUCUGAAGGAAAUAAAACUCUCAAAUUUUAUGAUUAUCCUCUCUCUCUCUCCCCCGCCCGGCGGCCCGGCUCGGCGCGUCUCUGUCCAUUUGUUUCACAAGUAAGAGAUCUAUAAAAUAUAUAUCGUAGUCUGUCUCUUUUUAUCCACUGCAACUCAACGGAUGUGUUUCUUUGUUAUAAGUAUUUUCAGCUUACUAUACGUCUGUUUCCUUCCCUGCGCCUCCCGCCCCGCCCCGCCCUGCCGCGCUCGCCUAGUCUGGAUUUCACCCGAAGUAGAAACUACCAUCCCCGAAAGCGCCUUACCCUCCAGUUUCCAACUAAUGUUUUUACAGAUUAUACAAACCCGGGCGGCUCCCCGGAUUUCUCGAUCAAUCCGCUCGGUUUUUCAGUUCUAAUCACGUCCAGUGCAUCUCUCGUCAUCCCCGGCACCGAAUCCAGACCAAUGUCUAUAUUUCGUGUAGUUACGUACAUGCAGGAAAGGAGUCUCCGUGAAUUUAAGAUUUUAAUUUCCCGAUCCCCUGGAAUUUUACUGAUGGAGGAAGAAAUCGUGGCAAAAUUCGAAUGCAACCCUUCUUUAAAUGCGUUUUCAAAUCUCUCUAAAGCCUCUGUGCAGUCGUAACGCACAAUGAUAUUUUUAAACUUCCUUUCGGCUGAGUGAUUGAAUGUUCGCGUAAUGAUGAUGGUGUCACGGUAAGUUUUCAGUGGCGUGGCGUGAACUGCGAUAUAUCGAUUGUUAUGCCAUUUAAACCUAUGAAAAAAGAUCGAUUAUCAGGGUGUUCGCAGCGAACACCUUAGUAAUCGAUUAUUUACCAUAGCUUCAAAUGGCGAGAUAUCGAUAAUCGAUUAUUCACGCCACGCCACUGUAAGUUUUGUGUGUUCGCUCUCCAAAAAAGUGUCGUGAUUGUGAAAGUGUUUACCUUAACGUUUUCGUGGGCGCCAUUUUAUUUCGCAUUGGAUUUUGCGCGCUUUUUGGAUAAUUAUCUCACAUGCUAACAUCCGCUUAACAUAAGGUAAGCUUGUGUGACGCAUGUUGUUGCGUUCUCAUAAUUUUUCAUCAAUUUUUUUCUUUAUUUACCACAUUGCAUGCGAUUUAUUUUUAUGUUAUA
rnacentral:lncRNA from 1 species